GCGAUAGAGGUGCGGCUGAAAUUAUUAGCAUUUCCACAAAAAACUCUAGGUUUCCCCAACCGGAAAUGUGAAAGGUGAGGCUGCCGAAGAAUUAAGUGUUGGGAAAGCUUAUUUCUGAUUGCAUGCUUAAUAAGCCUGUAAUUGUCAUCAUUAAAUAUGAUGGAGUGCUAUCGG
rnacentral:ncRNA from 1 species